rnacentral:sRNA from 1 species
GUCACCGAUCGAUCGACCGAUCGGCCGCUCUGCAGCAGCGAGCGUUGCAUCUCGCAUGCACUUUGCAGAGAGGAAGCUAGAGGUAGACGACGACGCGCGAGGCAUGCAGCGAAGCGAGGAGAGCAAGCGCUGCAAGCGGGCGAGAGCGAGUGAUGGAGACGUGUGAGAGGAGAGAGGCCUCUCCUCUGCUGCAGGUGCACGCAUGCCGUUUGCGUCCAUCCAGUCCACGACAAGGGAAUAUCGUCGUCGAUGCAGCAGCAGCACCAGCCGCCCUUUGUUUAUUUACCACCAUACCUUGCUACACAUCCACUUUACUAGUUUCAUAUACACAUUGUAGAGGGAGAAAGUAAGAGACAGAGAGAAGGUGUUGUAUAUAUACUCCUACCUCACACAUUCUCAUUCUCUCUACAUAGGAGUAUAUAUCUGUCGUCGAUCUUCUAAAACUAGUACGCACAUUCUAUCUGUAUGUCGCUCCGAUGUUCAUCAGAAAGUUGUUAAAAUAAUCAAAGCAUGUUUGUUGC